CAUGAUUGGCUGGGCAGGCCCUCUUGCAGCGCGGGCGUGGAAGGCUUUAGAAUAAAAGUACAGUUGUGCUUUUAGUGACUGUCAGCAUCAAACCGCUUUGAACCCAGACACACAGCAGCUUCGUGGCGCUUUUCUUUCACGUCCCGCUAUGUCCUCAGACAGUACCAUGGACUUGGACUUGGAGCUUGGUGAGUUGCUCCAGGAGUUCCAGGAUGUGGUGGAGGAGCUGAAGGCCCCUUCUCAAAGCAGACCGCAUGCUUACCAGAAAGCACUGCACGAGGCCAAAACUCUCACAGGGCUGAGUGAAGACAGUGGAGUCGAGGACUCAGAUUACAGCAGUGAACCAUCUAUGGGGAACAGUUUGAAUGCCAGUGAGGAGGAGCUCCACACAGCAGGAAUAACGCUGGCAUCAAAAGCCAAGCUGGGAGACACAAGUGAUCUUGAGAGUUUUAUCGACAUGUUGGACCGGGAACUUGCUGAGAUGUGAACGGAGAGCAAAAGUGAGCCACGUACAAUAAUGGAGGGGGGGAUAGGGAAUAGGCUGGGGGCGACACGACUGGCUACUGCUGAGCAGAAAGAGAGAUAUACACCAGAGCAGAUCUGAUGGAGCAAAUGGUCCCCUCGCCGCUCCGGGGGAAAAGGUUAACAUCCGAAAUUAAAAGGGCAGUCCAUUCCGAAAAUGCAAGAACUCCCACAGACCCCCGGCGAUGCUGCGUCCAGCCAGCAAAGACAACGUCUCCCUGCAGCAUCAGAUCCAGGAUGUGUGACAUAUUCCUGAAAUGAGACAAAGCUUCCAUCUGUUUGGGCAUAUGACAAAAAAGAAAGAAAAAACACAGCAAAAACACUGCCUGGAGUAUAGAAAGCAUGUUUAUCCCACAUAAAAAAAAAAAAUCCCAUAAGUGCAAUGCCCAGAAAGGGCUCUAAAUCCUCACGGCUGUGUAGUUUUGAAGAAAGCUGAGCUUUGUCUGGAUCAAAAUCUUAGAUGGCACAAAAGUUUUAGGCUAAUUUCAAAGUAAUUUUAAGUAGAAGGGCAUUUCUGGUGUACAGGUCUUUAUGAUAUUUGUUUUUUUUUAAUAAUAUAUAAUGUAUAUACAGAUGAAUGCAUGUAAAAUAAAAAGAGAUUUGUAAUGAAUUUGAUGUUUUCUAUCCAUCCAUCCUUCCUUCCAUUUAUCCUUAUUAGGGUUGCACGGGAGCUGGAGCCUAUCCCAGCUACCAUAGGGCGAGAAGUGGGGUACACCCACCCAGGUUGGCAAUAAGAUGCAGGGC
ensembl:lncRNA